AGUGAACGCUGGCGGUAGGCCUAACACAUGCAAGUCGAACGGCAGCACAGUAAGAGCUUGCUCUUACGGGUGGCGAGUGGCGGACGGGUGAGGAAUACAUCGGAAUCUACUUUUUCGUGGGGGAUAACGGAGGGAAACUUACGCUAAUACCGCAUACGACCUACGGGUGAAAGCAGUGGAUCUUCGGACCUUUCGCGAUUGAAUGAGCCGAUGUCGGAUUAGCUAGUUGGCGGGGUAAAGGCCCACCAAGGCGACGAUCCGUAGCUGGUCUGAGAGGAUGAUCAGCCACACUGGAACUGAGACACGGUCCAGACUCCUACGGGAGGCAGCAGUGGGGAAUAUUGGACAAUGGGCGCAAGCCUGAUCCAGCAAUACCGCGUGGGUGAAGAAGGCCUUCGGGUUGUAAAGCCCUUUUGUUGGGAAAGAAAGGCAGCAGGUUAAUACCCCGCUGUUCUGACGGUACCCAAAGAAUAAGCACCGGCUAACUUCGUG
rnacentral:rRNA from 1 species